CUAUAUGCUCAGUAAUCAAACCUGGUGGAGGUAUCCAAGAGGGCUUCUGCUGCUGCUUGAGAACAGCCUGGGCAUUGUUCAGUCAGUGGUGAGCAAUUGCUUUGUGUAUCACUCAUUUUGUAUAUACUUUAGAAUUAUUAUUAUUACUAUUUUCCCUUCCUUUUAUUUUCUAUUAAACUGUCUUUAUCUCAACCCAUGAGUUUUACCUUUUUUUUUCUGGAUGAAGACAGAUAUAUUAUCAGAAAACAAAAUCAGUAUUUUUUAUACUAUCCAUAUCAGUGAAUGUUUAAAACCAGAUUUCUUGUAUGUCCCAAAGCACAUGUGCAUCUCAUGGGAAUCUUCUGUAUAACCUUGUUUUGAUGGCCCCCGCUAGUCACUUGCUCUCCAUAAAGUAAUUUGAAUUCUAAAUAAUCAUUAAAUUAAUUAUCUUCUAUUCACCCACCUGACAGCAGCCUGCAAAACGGAGUUCUUUUUGCAGAUCCAACCGAAGUCUGAACAUAGCAGAUGUCAACGCAUAUUAAUACGUGAACAGGUGAUACAGCAACUAUAUCUAGAAACUAUUUCCAGACAUGUGAAGGACAAGAAGGUGAUCAGGAGCAGCCACCAUGGAUUUACAAAUGAGACCAACCUGGUGGCUUUCUACAAUGAGGACUAGCUUGGAGAAAAACAAUACUGAUAAUGCACUGAAGUCUGCGAUUGCUGCUAAGCAGUGUUGUACAGAGUCAAGGCCAUUCUCAGCAAAGGGCCUAAGAAGCUGGAAGGGGACAGAACCAGAACAUCUGACUUAAACUGGCCACAGGGAUAUUCCAUACCAUAUGACAUCAUGCAGAAGGAGUUUUGAAGGGGGUAAGAGUUUGUCUGCUUCUCUUCUGCUUGCUGGAGGUGGCAAGCUGGGCAUCGGUUGGCAGGUUGUGAGCAGUUGCUUGUGCAUGAGUUAAUAUACAAUCAUAUGUAAAUAUAUAGUCAUAAAUAUUAUCCUUUUCCUUUCCUCUAUCUUAAUAAAUAGUUUUAUC
ensembl:lncRNA